UUGAUUUUAGUUAUUUGUGAACGUACUACGGACAAACAAAAAAAUAUUAUAGUCAAAAAAAAAUAAAUCA
rnacentral:misc_RNA from 1 species